UACAGAGGGGGCAAGCGUUGUUCGGAAUUACUGGGCGUAAAGGGCGCGUAGGCGGCCUGCUAAGUCGAACGUGAAAUCCCCGGGCUCAACCCGGGAACUGCGUCCGAUACUGGUUGGCUUGAAUCCGGGAGAGGGAUGCGGAAUUCCCAGUGUAGAGGUGAAAUUCGUAGAUAUUGGGAGGAACACCAGAGGCGAAGGCGACCACCUGGACGGAGACUGACGCUGAGGCGCGAAAGCUAGGGGAGCGAACGGG
rnacentral:rRNA from 1 species